rnacentral:rRNA from 1 species
UACGUAGGGUGCGAGCGUUAAUCGGAAUUACUGGGCGUAAAGCGUGCGCAGGCGGUUGUGUAAGACAGGUGUGAAAUCCCCGGGCUUAACCUGGGAAUGGCGCUUGUGACUGCACGGCUAGAGUACGGCAGAGGGGGGUGGAAUUCCACGUGUAGCAGUGAAAUGCGUAGAGAUGUGGAGGAACACCGAUGGCGAAGGCAGCCCCCUGGGCCGAUACUGACGCUCAUGCACGAAAGCGUGGGGAGCAAACAGG